GGCGACGAUCUCUAGCUGUUCUGAGAGGAAGAUCAGCCACACUGGGACUGAGACACGGCCCAGACUCCUACGGGAGGCAGCAGUGGGGAAUAUUGCACAAUGGGGGAAACCCUGAUGCAGCCAUGCCGCGUGUGUGAAGAAGGCCUUCGGGUUGUAAAGCACUUUCAGUUGUGAGGAAAAGUUGGUAGUUAAUACCUGCCAGCCGUGACGUUAGCAACAGAAGAAGCACCGGCUAACUGCGUGCCAGCAGCCGCGGUAAUACGGAGGGUGCGAGCGUUAAUCGGAAUUACUGGGCGUAAAGCGCACGCAGGCGGUUUGUUAAGCUAGAUGUGAAAGCCCCGGGCUCAACCUGGGACGGUCAUUUAGAACUGGCAGACUAGAGUCUUGGAGAGGGGAGUGGAAUUCCAGGUGUAGCGGUGAAAUGCGUAGAUAUCUGGAGGAACAUCAGUGGCGAAGGCGACUCCCUGGCCAAAGACUGACGCUCAUGUGCGAAAGUGUGGGUAGCGAACAGGAUUAGAUACCCUGGUAGUCCACACCGUAAACGCUGUCUACUAGCUGUGUGUGAAUUUAAUUCGUGCGUAGCGAAGCUAACGCGCUAAGUAGACCGCCUGGGGAGUACGGCCGCAAGGUUAAAACUCAAAUGAAUUGACGGGGGCCCGCACAAGCGGUGGAGCAUGUGGUUUAAUUCGAUGCAACGCGAAGAACCUUACCUACACUUGACA
rnacentral:rRNA from 1 species